AGGGUCUUUGGUGAAUGCCUUGGCGCUGGGAGCCGAUGAAGGACGUGGCAGGCUGCGAUAAGCCUCGGGAAGCCGUCAAGCAGGCGUUGAUCCGGGGAUGUCCGAAUGGGAAAACCCGGCUGGGGUAAUGCCCAGUCACACUGGUCUGAACACAUAGGGCCAGGAGAGGCAACCGGGGGAAUUGAAACAUCUCAGUACCCCGAGGAAAGUAAAGCAACAGCGACUCCCUGAGUAGCGGCGAGCGAAACGGGAAGAGCCUAAACCAGCGCGGUGUCAUAGGUCGACGCCGUUGCCGUGCUGGGGUCGUGGGACCCACCUGACGGUGCGUCGAAGCCGUCGAGGAGUUACAAACUCAGGUGUUAGCCGAACAUGCCUGGAAAGGCAGGCCGUAGGAGGUAAUAGCCCUGUAGGCGAAAACACUCUGAGCUCCUGGUGGAGUUCCCAAGUAGCACGGGGCCCGUGAAAUCCCGUGUGAAUCUGCGAGGACCACCUCGUAAGGCUAAGUACUACCCAGCGACCGAUAGUGAACUAGUACCGUGAGGGAAAGGUGAAAAGCACCCCGGUGAGGGGAGUGAAAUAGAACCUGAAACCAUUGACUUACAAGCAGUCGGAGGGUCACUUCGGUGAUCUGACGGCCUGCCUUUUGAAGAAUGAGCCAACGAGUUAGCAGUACGUGGCAAGGUUAAGGCGUGAGCCGUAGCCGCAGCGAAAGCGAGUCUGAAUAGGGCGAGUAGUCGCGUGCUCUAGACCCGAAGCCGAGUGAUCUAUCCAUGGGCAGGGUGAAUCGAGGGUAAGACCUCGUGGAGGCCCGAACCCACCAAGGUUGAAAACUUGGGGGAUGACCUGUGGAUAGGGGUGAAAGGCCAAGCAAACUCGGCGAUAGCUGGUUCUCCCCGAAAUAGCUUUAGGGCUAGCGUCGCAUGUUCCACCGUGGAGGUAGAGCACUGAUUGGGUUAGGGGGCCAACAAGCUUACCGACCCCAGUCAAACUCCGAAUACCACGGUGCCACAGUGCGGCAGUCAGACCAUGAGGGAUGAGCUUCAUUGGUCAAAAGGGAAACAGCCCAGAUCGCCAGCUAAGGCCCCUAAAUCAGGACUAAGUGGGGAACGAUGUGGAAUCGCCCAAACAGCCAGCAGGUUGGCUUAGAAGCAGCCAUCCUUUAAAGAGUGCGUAACAGCUCACUGGUCGAGUGAUUCUGCGCGGAAAAUGUAACGGGGCUCAAGUCCUGUGCCGAAGCUGCGAGAUUCCAUCAUUGCUCGGCCCGUCUCCUCCGGGAGUCGGGUCCAGGCGAUGGGAUCGGUAGGGGAGCGUUGAGUGGCCAGCGAAGCGGCGGCGGAAGCCAGCCGUGGAGGCCACUGAAGUGAGAAUGUUGGCAUGAGUAGCGAAAGAGGAGUGAGAAUCUCCUCCGCCGAAUGUCCAAGGUUUCCUGGGGAAGGUUCGUCCGCCCAGGGUUAGUCGGGACCUAAGGUGAGGCCGCGAGGCGUAAUCGAUGGAUAACUGGUUGAUAUUCCAGUACUACCACGCACGCGCCAAGGCUGAAUCCGGUUUGCUAAGGAAAGCCCUUCGGGGCCUACCGACCCAACUGGUAUUAGGCCAGCGAUGGGGUGACGUGGAAGGCUAAACAGACCCGGGCGUUGGUUGACCCGGGGUAAGCGUGUAGGGCGAGGUCCAGGCAAAUCCGGACCUCACGAAGCCUGAGGCGUGAUACCGACCCGCCAUUAGGGGAAGCUGUCUAAGCCACGCCACCGAGAAAAACCUCUAGCAAGUGUGCGGGGUACCCGUACCCCAAACCGACACAGGUGGACAGGUUGAGAAUACCAAGGCGAGCGAGAGAACCGUGGUUAAGGAACUCGGCAAAUUGGCCCCGUAACUUAGGGAUAAGGGGCGCCCCGGUAGGGUGAAAGGACUUCGCGUCCUCGAGCCCGAGGGGGCCGCAGUGACUAGGCCCAAGCGACUGUUUAUUAAAAACACAGCAGCGUGCUAAGUCGUAAGACGAUGUAUACGCUGUGACGCCUGCCCGGUGCCGGAAGGUUAAGAGGAGCGGUUAGCACUUCGGUGCGAAGCUGUGAAUCUAAGCCCCGGUAAACGGCGGCGGUAACUAUAACCGUUGAACAGAAAUCUGAUGGCGGUUACAAAACUUGGCUAUAUGCUGGAACAUCCGAGCAUCCGGCGGUACUCGUUCAUGUCAGAGAGACCAAAAGUCUUGCUGACAUGAACAGUGACAAUCCGACCGGUGCGGACAAUCAGCAGGAAACCAAAGUGACACGGCAGACGUUCGAUCCGAGCUGGAUCGUUUGUUUCGUAGACGGUGAAGGCUUUCUUCUUUUGCCUUACACCGAAACUGCAGGCAACGCGAAUCGGAGGCUGGUAACUCACGCCAGCUUUCAGGUUUACCAGCACGAGUUGCAACGUGGUGUUCUCGAAGAGACCGCAGCCUUCUACGGCUGUGGAGCGAUCUACCCCAAGGGCUCAACAGCAAAGUGCUCACCUACUUGGUGGGUGCGCUGAGGGACUCGAAGGUGCCGAUUGACCUCUCUUCGAGCGGCAUCGACUUCGUGUCAAGGCCCGGGACUUGGAACUAGACGCGAUCAUCGUGAGAUGGUUACGUCGUUAAAGAACUCCUGGAGCCGGAUGGCUUCGAGCGUGUGGUUCGCCUUGCCAAUGAGAUGAAUACUCUUGGCAAACAGCGAGCCGUCUUAUCGAGCAAAUCCCGCAGGGAUCCUCAGAGACUGUACGCCAGGCACCGAGGUGAGUAUCGGUGAUGAUACAGUCCGAUCCUCAUGGCGACAUGGGGAGCUGGGCAGAAAUGAUCCGGCCGGCCAUUUAUUGAGAAUGGUGAGUAACAAGAAUGCCUAAGGUAGCGAAAUUCCUUGUCGGGUAAGUUCCGACCUGCACGAAUGGCGUAACGACGGCCACACUGUCUCCACCCGAGACUCAGUGAAAUUGAAAUU
rnacentral:rRNA from 1 species